rnacentral:tRNA from 1 species
GCCCCAGUGGCCUAAUGGAUAAGGCACUGGCCUCCUAAGCCAGGGAUUGUGGGGUCAUGUCCCAUCUGGGGUG